AUGCUUUGUGCAUCCCACAGGACAAGUCCCAGCACGCCAGGCACCGACAUCUCCAUCACCGGGACGUUGCGCGCACCCCGGGCACCCCGGCACCGCCCGGCGCCAGCAGAAGCUCCCAGAGAAGCUGGGGAGAUGCGUUUUGGGGCCAAAACGGGUGGAUUUGUGGGGCCGGGCGGGCAGCCGACCUACCCGCUCGCUGAUGGCGUUGUACUUGAUGGCCAGCUCAUCGCGCUCGGCGCGGCUCUGAGCCAGCAGGUCCUCGAGGCGCGACAGCUCCUGCUGCAGGAUGCGGUUCUCCUCCUGGAGGGACAGCAGCGAGGACAUGGCCCCGGGGACGGCCGCUGCGGGAGGGGACAGGGCUCAGGGGAAGGAUCCGGCCGCAGGAGGGAUCCCUGCGCCUUGCCACCACGAGCUGCUUUGUUCCCUCACCCUCUUCUCCCCCAGCUGCAAACGCUUCCCCCCGGGCCGGGUCCCCCAGAGCAGCUCAGCCUCGCUUUUUGCAACCGCAAAACCCAAACUCUGCAACUGCAAAAACCGCGGGGGCAUUUGGGCAGCGGCAGGUUUGCAGCGGCUUUUGCCGCUGCAUUUCCCGCGACGGCAGUCUUUGCGACUGCAGAUUUUGCGAUUGCAGAUUUUUGCAAAACCCGCUGCAAAUCUGCCGACUGCAGCACCAGAACUGCUCGGCGGCCGCUCCCGCGAGAGGAGCACCAAGUUCCCACCUCGAUCGCAGCCUCCGACUUCGGCGUGCUCAUGGGCUCCCCCCCCCUUUCCUCUGCUUUCAGCAUCCCCGUGCCCCCAUCCCAGCCUGGUUUUUGGGGCUCUGCUUCCGCUCUGCAAGCGGAAAGCGGAUGCAUGGCCAGGAUUAGCCCGAAAUCCUCGCCUUCCCCUCCCAGGCUGGGGCCCUCCUCUUCCUGGCUGUGUCCGCAUGCCUCGGGGGUCCUAACGCCUCCGCCGAGCGCUGCUUCAGCCUUUGCUGAGAAACCACGGGAUAUUUGCAAAGCCGAAGUUUUUGCAAAUCAAAACAAGCAAGCGAGGCUUUUUGCUUGCAGAGCAGGAAGGGAGGAGAUUUCUUUGGUAGGGCAAAAAAAAACAAACAACAAACAGCAGCGCCAAGCACCCCCCCCCCGUGCCCCAAAGCGGUUAAAACGCGCUCACUUUGCUCUGCCAUCCCCCGAUGCGCCCCCUGUGCAGCUCCCCGAGCUUGGGAUCUCCUUUACCUGGUAG
rnacentral:lncRNA from 1 species